CCAGCCUCUCGGGCGGUGCCUGCUGUCCACAGCCCAGGAAGUCGGUUGUCCCUUCCAGUACCCCCCUCUCCUAUGAAAGAGUGCCCAUCCCUUCCAGGGCAGCCCUUUGUUUGCCGGCCGCAGCUGCCCGCUCUGCCCUGCCCUGCCCCUCAGCCCGGCACCAGCUCCAUCCUGCGCGUUUCCUGAUGCGGGGCAGUCCUGUAGGCAGCAGUUGCACCACUGCACAGGGCGGUUCCCGUACGGGCGUGCGUACAGGCAAAUUUCCUCCUCCAGAGGUUGGCAGGCGGCCCAGAGCAGCCCAACAGCCCAGCUUCACCUCUUCACCUUCAACCAUCUGAGUCAAAGGGGUUGCCAGCUUCUCAGCCUCAUGUCAGCCAUGUGAUACAUCCACACAGCAACAAUCACAAGAACAAAUCAAAAAAUUAACUGGAGCUCCAUCACAGGCUAUUAGAGAGAGCGAGAGCACCUCUGAGUGAGAUGCUGGAGCCCA
rnacentral:lncRNA from 1 species